UUAUUUGUCGGUAACUUGGAAGGAAAAAACAUAAAAACACCCACUUUAACAAAAAUCCUCGACCGACCGCGAACUGAAUGAUAAUUUUAUUUUUUUGAAUUUGGGAGUAGAAUUUGCGCGUGACUUUAAUAUUCAUUGUGAAUAAACUCGAAAAGUUGCUUAAUGAGUCAGAAUAUCCAACGUACUUGCGGAAUAAUAAAGGUGUUGAUAAAAAACUGGUUUUUGUGAUGUUGGGUGACUGUUAAUAAGGAAAUUAUUGUUAAAAAUCCAAAAAUUGUGCUCUUUACAACCAUAAAAUGAUGCUAUACGGUAAACAAAAUUGAAAUUAAAUAGAUUUUGUUAGAGAAUGAUCUCAUACAUGGAAAACCGCUGUAGGCAGGAAAAUUUGCAAAAAUAAUUUUCCUAUUGCAUCCUCUCUACAUCACACAAUUUUAAUUGUAUAUAUGACAAUACUUCAGGACGUGGGUUAUUUUUAGUAAUUUCGCAUCAGUUCAAGCUCAAGGUUGUCAAACACGCUAAUUUUUUUUUAUAUACUUGUCUUGUUUAUUAUCACUUUUAGAACUACAGUACAGCCAAAAACGGUUAUAAAACCUUCAACCAGCGAGGCUUAAGCAAUUACCCAAGAUGCAUAAUCCUAUCAAAAUACAACACAAUAGUCCCAUUGUCAAAACCUAAUUAAGUAAAUAAACAUUAUGUAAAUAAGAACAAUAGACAUCCCGAGAAAGGAAUACGCUGGAAAUCGUUGCCCAUCAGAACAAUUUCGCGAAAUUUCGAUGGCAAGAUAUUCGAUAAUAUGCAACUCGAUACGGACUUUGUAAUAUCAAAAUCCGUGCCGCAAGAUUGACGGCCUGGGAACAAAACAACUUAUUACCAUAUAGGAUAAUGAGAGAGUGUCUUUUAUGUACAAUAAAAGUCACCUUGAGAACUGUAUGUGCUAAGCAUUCUCUCUAAUUGUUAAUUUCUCAUCAGAUGCUUUGUACUUUUUCUUUGGAAAUUCAUGAUUUCUGUGAAUUGUGGUGAUUGUUAUUAACUUUUGUUGCUAGAUUGUAGUUUAAAUAAAGAUUAUAGCGGAUUAAAAUGGUUUAUUUGGGUGUGGAAUAUAAGGCAAGGUUUUUUCUAAAAAAAAUCCACAUAUCUAACAACAUUAUGCAUCAGAAGGAGAAACUUACCCCAAAGGCUCAUUUUAAAGAAAAGAAAAUUCCGAGUAGGAAAACCGUACUAGAAGAAAAACAACAACACAACGAACACCUGACGAAUGAAUGGCGAGCUGCGAGAGCGUGAAGUACCGGCUACCAGAGAUAUUGGAACGGGAACAAACAAAAAUUCCGUACCGUUUGUUCCAUAUCGGUUCAAUCGGAUUCGAUCUUACGUCAAUCUUGAGUAUAAUAUGAGCUGAUUUUGCGAAAAAGUACAUUUUUAAAAAUGAACCCAAUUUUCAUCUGAUGGCACACAUCAUUUUGAGUACUAGAGAGAGCAUUUUGAGUUGAGGAUUUAAGUAGUGCAGUUUUGGUUGGACCUUUUUUUAAAUUUCUUCCAUUUUUGAAACGAUGGAUGCUUACGGCAUAUUAUGCUAUUAGGGCUAUAAACAAAACACCCUCCCUCUGGUCAGCUAAUAGGUAGAUUUAUUAAUUUUUCCCAUGCAAGCAGACCUCACUAUUUUUUACCAAAACAGUCGAGAUCCACCAUACUCAACAAGCAUUAUUAGAAAUAAGUAUGUCAUUAUAAUUGUAUAACAACAUGUAAAUAUUAUACAAUUUUCCGCAUUACAGCAUGAAAUAAAAGUACAGGCGAUCCUUUGUGCUACUUAAUAUUGUACCAUUAAAAAUAAUAAUUCAAUAUAAUUGUCUGGGUGCACGACUAUUAUUGGAAUAAUGUAAUAAAUAUAUAUAGAUAAUAUUGUGGUAUUUUAACAGCAAGACCAACCUAUGCUUGCUAAAAACCCAAUAAAAUACAUACAUACAGUUAUUAUUGACAGCCUGACAUGAAUCAACCAUUAUGUCUUAUUAUUUACCUGUAUCAACACUUACAAAGACGUUUUACGUAAUUUGUUUGAAGUACGCCUACACACUCUCUUACUUUGGUGUUGGGCGUGGGUUUUUUUUAUUAUUAUAAAAUGCCUAUUCGAUUUUCCGGCUACGUAAAAAUUUUCUUAUUAAAGAUGUGAAAAAAAAAUCAUUUUUUUUUUUUAAUCUACUGAGCCAUCAGAGUUUUUAAUACCCCCAGAACAUUUCUGCCAUAAUGCAUUUCAUGAUGCCUUAAAGGUUAACCUGGUAUUUAUUUACUGUCAUAAGCAGAUUGCACGAUACCAUUCUAAAUGCGGGUGGAGCAACGUGAAAAACGAUUUUAAAUUUCGUGACCUUUUUAUGAUGGAAUGUUAUGGUUCAGUAACAACAUUUAUUUUUUUAAACCUAAAUAAAAUAUAUAAGUGGUGUUAGGUAUCUGUAAUGAACUAAAAAUAAAUUCUUACCUUAAAAACAAUAUGUACUUACCUUUUUUUUAUCAGAGACACUUAAUAUUUAUCACUUUUUUAUGAACUGUCCAAAAUAAUAGAUUAUUUUUGAAAAAAUACUUGAAAAUGAUAUGGGUAUACAUUUUGUCAAAUUUAUGAAUCACAUGUGUGAGAAAAACUUGUGUAUUCCAAGGUAAUAUUUUUUAAUAACAUCAUAACACUACAUUUUAACAAUUUAUUACAAAUGAAACCAGUUUCAUAAAAAUGUUACAGGUUAAGAAAUACACAACAAUAAAGGGUACAGCAUACACAGUUGGAAGUUUAAAUCUCUUUUUUUGUUACUACCAGUGUGGAAGAAAAUUGGCUGAUGUAUAUAUAAUUUAUAUAGUAUUUAAAAAUGCUAUAAUUUUAAUUACAAGAAAAAAAAACAAACAAAAGACCAAUUUUUUUUUCAAUUAUGAGGUAUUUUACCCUGUGUGGGGUGUAGCAUGUACAACUAAUUUUAGUGAAAUUAAAACUCUCCAAAAUUG